rnacentral:rRNA from 1 species
AUUGAACGCUGGCGGCAGGCCUAACACAUGCAAGUCGAGCGGAUGAAGGGAGCUUGCUCCUGGAUUCAGCGGCGGACGGGUGAGUAAUGCCUAGGAAUCUGCCUGGUAGUGGGGGAUAACGUCCGGAAACGGGCGCUAAUACCGCAUACGUCCUGAGGGAGAAAGUGGGGGAUCUUCGGACCUCACGCUAUCAGAUGAGCCUAGGUCGGAUUAGCUAGUUGGUGGGGUAAAGGCCUACCAAGGCGACGAUCCGUAACUGGUCUGAGAGGAUGAUCAGUCAACAUGGAACCUGAGACCCGGCCCGGACCCUUAGGGAAGGCAGAAGUGGGAAAUAUGGGAAAAGGGGGGAAAGCCGGUCCAAGCCAGGCGGGUGGGUGGAAGAAGUUCUCCGGUUUGUAAGCCCUUUUAGGUGGGGGGAAAGGCAGUAAGUUUAAAACUUGCUUUUUUGACGUUAACCACCAAAAAAGCCCCGGCCAACUUCGUG